rnacentral:antisense_RNA from 1 species
UCCAGCCUCUUGACGUAGCCCACUUUUACUCAGCUCCUGUCAUAGUUCUUGUAAGGUUGUGUAUCCUGAAUUUUCUCUAAAUGAUAUAUCAUAAGCACUUUUCUAUGUUGUCAUUUAGUUGUAGUAAUCAACAUUUUAAUGACUAAGUGAUAUUUCAGAGCAUUUCAACAUUCCUGAAUAAAAUGAUAAUAUGGCCAUAAAAACAAUGAGAUUGUACCACAAUGGAAGAAAUAUAACUCUAGUCUUUAGGAAAGAAACGUUACUACCUGUGUGGCCAACAGUUGCUGGCUUUUCUCUAUGUUUCUCAUACUUUGGAAUGAAUUAGCUCUAGAAUAAAGUCAGCAUAUUGUGUGUCUGAGUCCUGAAUUUCUGGCUGGUGGACACAGAUCUCUGUUGUAUGCAGCCAAGUAGAUCAGCACAGAGAUACCAAGCUCACUCUGGCUUUCUCUGUUCUCCAGCCUGGCCCCCUGCAUUCCCACAGCUUAAAGUUUAUUUUAAGCUUUAUUCUUUCCCACGUCCUUUGUUUCUUUUAGAUAACGUUCAUGUAAUUAUGAAAAUAAAUUCAGAGCAAGGCUGUCUUUCUGAGGGCAGGGGUGCGUUGCUGGCAGCCGAGGCCUGCUGGGGGUAGUGUUCCUCGUCUGCCAGUGCUUGUUCUGUGGGAAUAAAGCAACACGAUCAUUUUAGAAUAAUUAGGGGAAAAAUACAAAACACUGAGGGUGAAUUAGCCCUGCCAAUCUGGUGGUCGUUCCUGAGUUCAGCAAAUAUGCACCCAUAUGUAUCUGUGUCUUGUUACUGCAUUGAUUUGGUUUUCAACUUCUUUGCAAGAAUACAAGCUACAGGGAGGCUGGCUCCUCAGUAGAGCCUGUGUUCACUGAUGUGGCCCUGUGGUAACAGCGAGGACGGCAAGGUGAUGGGUGCAGCUCCUGCCCGUCAGGCACUCACAGUCCUGAAGAAGACAGAGGAAGAAAAGCCCAUUGUCCAGCAAGCUUGUGGGGUGGCUGAAGCCUGUCUCUGUGUCCAGGGCAGAAAAAUACCAGCGAGACUUCAGCGGGGCUGAGGCCUAACUGAAACCUGGAUGAGCUUUGGUUUUAUUUCUUAGUAUGAUGUCACCUAGUGAGUUUCACCAAAUGUUGCAUUUGCAUAAUGCAUUUUUGUGCUACUUUUCUAGACCCCAGAAGUGACAAGAGGGCAGGAAACUUCUGGCUUAUGCCAGCAUGGUAGCCACUGCUUCUGUCCAUCUCCUCAACAGUCCGCACACCACUGCACAAGGCAGCGGUUUAUCUUUUUAAUUCUCUGCUUCAUUGGCAUAGCCUUGACUGGCACACAGGAGUUGAUUGCUGUCUGGUGGGAGAUACAGAGUGGAGGCAGGCAUAGGAAAUACAGUGCGUUAAAGGUAGGUUCAGAUGGAGUGGAGCAGCUUUAAAGGACUAAGUGUGUGGCCAGUCUUCAAUAAACAUGAAACUAAAGUUAGAACCAAAAAGUAUCCAAGAAAUCACCUGGUACAGCAACUCCUGAACUAACAGCCUGUAGGACACUCAGUGGGCUCCUGGUUUCAUAUUCCAUAACGCAAACAUCUACUGAGGACCAUGCUAGACAGCGGCAAAGGCCAAAAAGAGCACCAGGACUUGACUUCGGCUAGAAUCCAAGCAAUCAGAUGUGCUUUUACAUGUCAAUUGCAUGCGAACCACCAGUGCAAGUUUGAAGUGUUAUAUGACAAGAGUAGUAAGAAUCACCUUCAAUAAUGCUUAGGUGAAUAAUAAUUCACCAUGGGCCCAGCACCCCACAAGACCACCUCUAUGCAUUAUCUUGUUUUAUGCCAUUAGACAGUUGAGAAACCUGAGAUUCAAAGACGGCAGCCACUCAGACAAGGUCAGGGAGCUGGUAGCAGCAGAUCCAGGGUCCAGCCCCAAUAGCCGAGCUCCAGCUCUGACAUUUGACCACCCUGAGAAUCUUAUUAAACGACUUGACCUAAAAUUCACGUGCAAAUAUAGAAAUUACUUAAUGCUCAGGACUUGGAGGAUUAUUAUCAAAGGCCCCUGCGGAUAGGGGACUGAGAGUCAUGCCUGGGAAGAGCUGAGCUCCUCAUGUUCUCGUGGCUGAUCUGAGACCCCUCGGUUUGGAAGCAGAACACCCACCUGUUUAGAGCUGUGAUUCUGUCACUUCCUAGGGGUGUGAUGUUGGGAAUUAACCAAGUUUCUUCACCAGUAAUAUUUGCACAAUAACACCAUCCUCAUUUUGCUGUGAGGAUUAAGUGAGAGAAUGGUGUGGAAAGUACCAGGCAAACCAGGAGGCCUGAAGCACACAUGUAAUAUUUUUAUUUGACUUAAAUGAAAGCAUGGAUAUUUUUAAAGGUUAAAGAGAAAGGUUCACCAUUUUAAACUCAUGUAAAAUCAUUAUAUAAAAUUAUUAUUGCUUUUAACUGAGUUCUUGAAUCAUUUUCUUCUUAAUUCAAACAAGUCAUUAUUCUGUGACCAGUAGGAAUUUUUGAGAUCAGUCUAUUGGCUACUAAAUUUGUCUGCACUUGGGACUUCACUCAAGAGGAAUGCCAGCUUUCCUGUGUGGAACCAGAGGGAGUCGGGGCCUGAGCCAGCAACACUACCUGAUUGAGGGACAGGUGCACUGAGAAAACAGAGAAUCCACUCAAGACUGUUAACUUUUUGUUUGAAAGCUGCAUCAAAGUCUGGGUAGCCUUCCCAGAAAUACUAUUCAGUACAUGAGCACAGCAGCCUGGGACCUGCAGGGCUCCGCAGGUGACCCUGGCUAACUCCACUGGAAGGGCCCCGCCUCCGGCAACAUCUUCCUCAGUUUCCACCUUCUGUCCUUUGCUGAUUUAGUCCCACAAGAACUUGAGUCUGAAGACAGCGUUGUUUUCACUGCUAUGGUAACAAAAACACAAUUAUGAAAUAAUGUAAACGCACAUGCAAAAACACACAGAAAAGCCAAACACAACAGUGGCCCAGCCAAGCUCUGCAAGCUUAGUCCUACGUGCUGUGAAUGCCCUGGGCCCCUCCGGAUGCCAAGUGCCAUGAACUCAGGCCUUAAAGGAAUUUUCAAGCAACACUUUAAGUAUAUGCAUUUCAAAAAGCGACUUAUACACAAAAUUCAAAUGCGAUGGUGUACUUUUUGUUAUUUUUACUAUCUAGAAUAUAGGGCUCAUGUACAUUUUACAAAUUUGUUUUGCUUUAGACUUUUGUUAUCCCAUCAAAUCGCUGUCAGAGUCACCAGGCCAGUCCUUUUCCUCCGGCCUGCUGUGUGUCUGUGAUAGGCAUUCUGUAAAACAAGUGUCUGGCAUGGUUUUUGCUCUCAUUGUGUUGCUUUUAUGUUCUUUGAUAUGGUUAAACCUAUGUUUUAUUUA